rnacentral:rRNA from 1 species
UGGGGAAUUUUGGACAAUGGGCGAAAGCCUGAUCCAGCAAUGCCGCGUGUGUGAAGAAGGCCUUCGGGUUGUAAAGCACUUUUGUCCGGAAAGAAAUCCUUGGCUCUAAUACAGUCGGGGGAUGACGGUACCGGAAGAAUAAGCACCGGCUAACUACGUGCCAGCAGCCGCGGUAAUACGUAGGGUGCAAGCGUUAAUCGGAAUUACUGGGCGUAAAGCGUGCGCAGGCGGUUUGCUAAGACCGAUGUGAAAUCCCCGGGCUCAACCUGGGAACUGCAUUGGUGACUGGCAGGCUAGAGUAUGGCAGAGGGGGGUAGAAUUCCACGUGUAGCAGUGAAAUGCGUAGAGAUGUGGAGGAAUACCGAUGGCGAAGGCAGCCCCCUGGGCCAAUACUGACGCUCAUGCACGAAAGCGUGGGGAGCAAACAGGAUUAGAUACCCUGGUAGUCCACGCCCUAAAGCGAUGUCGAACUAGUUGUUGGGGAUUCAUUUCCUUAGUAACGUAGCUAACGCGU